GGUUUUCAAGAAUCAUGUUCCCCAGUUGCUAAGGGAUAAUCAAACCAAACAUCUCCUGAAUACUUUGUUCAAAAUUUGGUUAUUGUUUUGGAUAUGGCCAAAUCAUGUACAUUUCCUCUUCCACUUCUGGCAGUUGCUUUUCAACAACUAAUAGCAGGCUCCUCUCAUGGUCAUGGAAAUGAUGGUGAUGACACAUUGAUCAAGGCUUGGGAGAAAGUAUAUGGGGUGAACAUUACCAAUGCUGUCAAUAUGGUACAAACUUAUUUAUGAAAAAAAAUAUUAAUAAAAUGUCAUUCCGAGUCAAGUCUGCUGCAUCAGAUGGUCAAUUAGGUAUCAUAUAUUACACUACAGAACAACAUCUGCUGUCUCUCCUAAAGUUUGUGCUGACUAAAAGGCAUUCUGCUGGUGGUCUUUUAUUUCUUUGUAGUUGAGCUUUUGAUUGAUGCGAUCUGUUUGUCCUGAUUUCUGAUUUGGUUGAGUUGUUUUGUUGCUGGUUUUGUUUGAUUUGUUUUCUGACUGUUUUAGUAAAUGAGGUAAACUGCUGCGUCAAUUCUGAUUUGGUUAUAUGAUUUUGUUUGGGUUGCCGAGUUGAAAUGGUUUUCUGAACUGGUGAUGAUCUGUGUUGAAUCAGUUUGUUGAUCUGCUAUUCUUCUGGUGCUGCUGUGAUGUUGCUGCUGUUGCUGAGAUGCUGUGGUGAUGCUGCUGUGAUGGUGUUUGUUAUGAUAAGGU